rnacentral:misc_RNA from 1 species
UUUGGGCAGUGUGUGGAG